AGUGAACGCUGGCGGUAGGCCUAACACAUGCAAGUCGAACGGCAGCACAGUAAUUGCUUGCUCUUACGGGUGGCGAGUGGCGGACGGGUGAGGAAUACAUCGGAAUCUACUUUUUCGUGGGGGAUAACGUAGGGAAACUUACGCUAAUAUCGCAUACGACCUACGGGUGAAAGCAUGGGAUCUUCGUACCUUGCGCGAUUGAAUGAGCCGAUGUCGGAUUAGCUGGUUGGCGGGGUUAAGGCCCACCAAGGCGACGAUCCGUAGCUGGUCUGAGAGCAUGAUAAGCGGCACUGGAGCGGAAACGCGGUCAAGACUACUAAGAGAGGCAGCAGUGGGGUAUAUUGGACAGUGGGGGCAAGUCUGGUCCAGCCAGAGCGAGUGGGAGAAGAAGGCCUUGGGGGUGUAAAGACGGUUUGUUGGGAGAGAAAAGCAGCAGGUUGAUACCCAGCGGUAGUGACGGUACCCGAAGAAUAAGCACCGGCUAACUUCGUG
rnacentral:rRNA from 1 species